UUGAGAAAAGGGAAUGAAGCUCUCCCAUGAUAGAAUUAUCAAAACCGCAAUUUGCUGAUGGCUUCUGUAUAUUU
rnacentral:ncRNA from 2 species